rnacentral:tRNA from 1 species
GCUAGUGUGGUGUAGUGGUUUGAACACUGGAUGACAACUCUGGAGAUCAAGGUUCAAAUCCCUGCUCAGCC